rnacentral:rRNA from 1 species
GAUGAACGCUGGCGGCGUGCCUAAUACAUGCAAGUCGAGCGAACAGACGAGGAGCUUGCUCCUCUGACGUUAGCGGCGGACGGGUGAGUAACACGUGGAUAACCUACCUAUAAGACCGGGAUAACUUCGGGAAACCGGAGCUAAUACCGGAUAAUAUAUUGAACCGCAUGGUUCAGUGGUGAAAGACGGUUUUGCUGUCACUUAUAGAUGGAUCCGCGCCGCAUUAGCUAGUUGGUAAGGUAACGGCUUACCAAGGCAACGAUGCGUAGCCGACCUGAGAGGGUGAUCGGCCACCCUGGAACUGAGCCACGGUCCAGACUCCUACGGGAGGGAGCAGUAGGGAAUCUUCCGCAAUGGGCGAAAGCCUGACGGAGCAACGCCGCGUGAGUGAUGAAGGUCUUCGGAUCGUAAAACUCUGUUAUUAGGGAAGAACAAAUGUGUAAGUAACUAUGCACGUCUUGACGGUACCUAAUCAGAAAGCCACGGCUAACUACGUG